GGGAGUCGACUCGACUUAACCCGGAGUCGACUCGCCAAAAUCUGGAGCUGACCUUGCACUUUUGGAGUCAGCUCAUUCAAAGGAAUUCAUAGAGAUAUUCUUCAACUUCACUUACUCGAGUCGACUCGGAAAUUCUGGGAGUCGACUCGGCGCUCAGAGCCCGAACUCCCGAUCUUCUAUCUUUUGGCUCGUGCAGUCUUGGAGUCGACUCGAACUGUUCCGGAGUCGACUCGGCUCUCAGUAUCCGAAAAACAGUCUUCUGUCUUUUUGGAGUAGCGCUGCCUUGGAGUCGACUCGAACUGUCUUGGAG
rnacentral:lncRNA from 1 species